GGAGAGAUGGCUGAGUGGUCUAAAGCGAUAGAUUGUAAAUCUAUUAAUAUUAUUCAACGUAGGUUCAAAUCCUACUCUCUUCA
rnacentral:tRNA from 1 species